AAAACUCUGGAGUAUUUGCCAACAAAUCUAUUCCCCUGAGCCGAUAAACACACUUAACAGAUUGUUUUUUGUACAUUCAGCGUGUAAGCCUAUCUUGUAAUAGGAAACCCAAUAUGUACUCAGCAAUCUAACCUUGAAUCUUAGGGUUCAAGGGUGCGAUUUGUAGCGAUACUUUCGGAGUUCAU
rnacentral:other from 1 species